rnacentral:rRNA from 1 species
GACGAACGCUGGCGGCGUGCUUAACACAUGCGAGUCGAACGGAAAGGCCCUGCUUUUGUGGGGUGCUCGAGUGGCGAACGGGUGAGUAACACGUGAGUAACCUGCCCUUGACUUUGGGAUAACUUCAGGAAACUGGGGCUAAUACCGGAUAGGAGCUCCUGCUGCAUGGUGGGGGUUGGAAAGUUUCGGCGGUUGGGGAUGGACUCGCGGCUUAUCAGCUUGUUGGUGGGGUAGUGGCUUACCAAGGCUUUGACGGGUAGCCGGCCUGAGAGGGUGACCGGCCACAUUGGGACUGAGAUACGGCCCAGACUCCUACGGGAGGCAGCAGUGGGGAAUAUUGCACAAUGGGCGGAAGCCUGAUGCAGCAACGCCGCGUGCGGGAUGACGGCCUUCGGGUUGUAAACCGCUUUCGCCUGUGACGAAGCGUGAGUGGCGGUAAUGGGUAAAGAAGCACCGGCUAACUACGCG